rnacentral:rRNA from 1 species
GAACGAACGCUGGCGGCAGGCCUAACACAUGCAAGUCGAGCGAACCCUUCGGGGUUAGCGGCGGACGGGUUAGUAACGCGUGGGAAUAUACCCUUUGGUACGGAAUAGCCUCGGGAAACUGAGAGUAAUACCGUAUGUGCCCUUCGGGGGAAAGAUUUAUCGCCAAAGGAUUAGCCCGCGUUGGAUUAGGUAGUUGGUGGGGUAAUGGCCUACCAAGCCUACGAUCCAUAGCUGGUUUGAGAGGAUGAUCAGCAACACUGGGACUGAGACACGGCCCAGACUCCUACGGGAGGCAGCAGUGGGGAAUCUUAGACAAUGGGCGCAAGCCUGAUCUAGCCAUGCCGCGUGGACGAUGAAGGCCUUAGGGUUGUAAAGUCCUUUCAGAUGGGAAGAUAAUGACGGUACCAUCAGAAGAAGCCCCGGCUAACUCCGUG